AUGGUAGGCCAAGCCAGUUUCCAAAUCACAAACUGUAAGCUACAUGUAUAUUUUACUUACACAUUUCCACAAACACUUGAAGUGCAUGAUCUAGCCAUCAAGUACUCCAAGGAAAUUAAUGGAGAGACACAGGGAAGGAGGCAAGGACAGAGAGGAGAUCAGUCUUACGGGUUGAAGCUUUUUCUGGUGUUGACGGUGAGAGCAAGAUCUCGUUGGCGAGCUUGGGGCGUCGGUUCCUGCAGAGCUGGUUGGGGUUGGGGAAGGAGGAACCCUAGGCGCCCCUUCCCUUCGACCACGCGGCCGCUGCCGCCGCUGCUUCACCUCCCCCACGCAGCCGAGCUGCCACCACCGCCGCAAGGGACAAGCCCGCCGCUGCCGUCGCGAGGAACACGCCCGUCGCCGCCGCCGUCGCGAGGAACACGCCCGCCGCUGCCGCAAGGAAGAGCCCCCCUCUCUUCUGCCGCGAGGAAAACGCCAGCCGUCGCGGGGAGCGCGCCCUCCGCCUUCCGCCGCCCCCUCCGCCGGCAGGAACGAGUCAGCCACCAAGGAACGCGUCGGCCGCCGCCAGGGAUGUCGAUCUGA
rnacentral:rRNA from 1 species